rnacentral:rRNA from 1 species
CAUGUACGGGAGGCAGCAGUGAGGAAUAUUGGUCAAUGGGCGGAAGCCUAAACCAGCCAAGUCGCGUGAAGGAAGACGGUUCUAUGGAUUGUAAACUUCUUUUGUAGAGGAAUAAUGGCAGCUACGUGUAGCUGAGAUGCAUGUACUCUACGAAUAAGUAUCGGCUAACUCCGUGCCAGCAGCCGCGGUAAUCAUG